UACGUAGGGUGCGAGCGUUGUCCGGAAUUAUUGGGCGUAAAGAGCUCGUAGGCGGUCUGUCGCGUCGAUCGUGAAACUUGGGGCUUAACCCUGAGCUUGCGGUCGAUACGGGCAUGACUGGAGUUCGGCAGGGGAGACUGGAAUUCCUGGUGUAGCGGUGAAAUGCGCAGAUAUCAGGAGGAACACCGGUGGCGAAGGCGGUUCUCUGGGCCUUACCUGACACUGAGGAGCGAAAGCGUGGGGAGCGAACAGG
rnacentral:rRNA from 1 species